rnacentral:rRNA from 1 species
UCAGCAGUCAAGAAUAUUAGUCAAUGCUCGCAAGAGUGAACUAGCUAACUGAAAUCACAGGAUCCACUACGUGUGGUGAAUGUUAUAACGUAAGGGAAAAAAAUGAUAUUACCUUACUAUUAGUGUUGUCCAAAACUGGUGCCAGAAGACUCGGUAAGGCCAGAGACGCAAACGUUAGUCGUCCUAAUCAGGCGUAAAGGGUAUGUAGGCUGCUUUAAAAGUUUAGUAUAAUAUUUUAAUAGCUCUGUUUAAAUGGAAAUUUUUUAUUUAGACAGUAAAAUAUACAAUGAAUUAAAGCUAGGAUCAAAUUGAGGAUAAUUUAAAGAAUACUUAGUGUAGGGUUUACAUCUGGUGAUACUAAGGGGAAUACUAACGGUGAAAGCUUUUUAUCUAGAAAUGAUCGACGCUGAGAAACGAAGGUGAGAAUAGGAAAUAGGAUUAGAUACCCAGAUACCUCUCACAGUCAACGAUGAAUGGUGGUUGUUAGUUAGUUUUAUUUAACUGAUAACGAUGUUAACACGAUAACCAUUCCGCCUUGCGAGUACGGUUGCAAAACUGAAACCAAAAAAAUUAGUCGGUCUCGAAGCAAACGAAGUGAAGCAUGUUAUUUAAUUCGAUAAUCC